GUGAGAGGGGGGGGGGUGGACCAGGCCUGUGGAGGCCUGUGGGAGUGCUUCCGCUCGUCCAGCGGUGGAGAUGAAGUGGAGGCAGGCCCCAAAGCUGGCUGGCAGCAGCCUUGGCGGGGCGCUCGGGAGGAUGUCGCCGUGCAGGCCGCAGGGUGCGGGGUUUGGUGCGGUGGGCGAGCAGUCGGUGGUGGGCGUAGCACCGUGGUGCCACGGUCAGCCACGGUGGUCUGGAGGAUUGGGAGCCGCCGCUCGGCUAGCGGGGGCCACCUUGUCGCGUCUGGGGUGACCAACCACCACGAGCAGCAGUGGCACUUGGGAUGGAGCUGGGCAGGGGUCUCAGAGGCCCCAGAAUGACCACUCGGAUCAGUCGGAGCGUGAAGCCACCAGUGGACCUGGUCUAAUAUGCCAUUUUUCACGGUCGCAUCCGAGCCAGUUUGGAUGUGAUACCAUCACGGCACGGGUGGAUUUCCACCGGCUCGUUGCCGUGCCGAGCCACGGGCGAAGCCGCUGGCCUCGCGAGACGCCCGAGUCUGGGGCCAAGCAGGGCCAGGGGCAGCACUGCGCUGCCACGCCAGCGGCUCGGCUCAGGUCGGCUUUUGCAGUGGAAAAACGACCCGGAGUCUGAUGGGCUACGCCCAGCUGGCUUGGGCACGGUUGGGCAGUGGAAAAGACGUAUGAGAGGUCCCCCGGUCUGUGGGGGACCUCGACAUAAUCGGCAGUGGCUUUGGGAACAACCUGGGCUGGAGUUGGGAGGUCCCAGUUACUGGGCACUCGCUCCUGAGACCCCCCUAUAGGCCUAGAGGACUGAAAAGCAUCGGACACUUGGUCCCCCUCCCCCCGCACCUCCGAUUAGCGUGGUUGGCUACGCGCGGUGCGAAAGAAGUUCAACACGCGUACAAGUUGCGCGUGGAGCUACCUUUACUUUGCUCUUUAAAUGAUAACUCGCUUGGGUUGGGGGGCUCGUGCGCCGGUGCGGUGGGAGGGGGGGGGGAAGGUGGCGCUUGGGCCAGCACCGGCGUCAGAUUUCAGCGAGGCAAGGUGAGCGAUGUGCGCGCGUCUGUGCGACGCUCUCAGUGGGGAGCGGUGGCCUGGUGGUUGGCGCACUGCGCUACAAAUCCAGCGACCCGAGUUCGAUUUCCCACCCACGGCCAAUAUUGGUGACGAUUAUUUGAACCGGUGCUGGGACCCCUCCCCUGGAUCGCCCGGUGCGGAGUGUAUACAGCAUCGGCACUGGGUAGACAAAAGCGGCCGGGCGUGGUGCUGGCCACGCACUCCCUCGUGUGCCGUGCGGCCCUUAAUAGGUGCUCGCUAACAGCACUUGCUCCGAAAGCCUGCCAAGGGCUGUACGGGGGGUGGUGGGGGGGGGGGAUAUUUGUGUUUGUGCAACGCCGUUUAACGCAAGGAUCGCACACUUCAGCCUGCUCGAUUCAAACGCAACGCUGGGUUCUGUUCACGAUGGGGGAUGCCCAUCGUAGCGGGACAGUGCGUCCCCGGGGCCGAAUAGACAAAGUGGUGUAAGACGGGCCCUGGGAGGGUUGCGGCUCUUAUCGUCGCUGCUGUGACUCACAACAACGCGUGUUUACCCAGGAAAGCCUCAGCUGAGGUCUCAAGAUGUUUUGUUUCUUCCAAGAGGGGGCGGGGGGGGAGUCCCCUUGCCAGGUUUUCGCAGCAGUAGGGGGGGGGCGGGGCGAGGCUGCCUCUUGCCACGCCACUGCCGCGCACGCCCCGGUGUGUUAUUUCGAACGACAGAGAGAGGAGAGAGCCUCCCCUCUAUCGGGAGGGGAGGGUGCCUGGCCUACCCUUCCACGCUGGCCAGACGUCGUCACGUUGCUCCCCCGUUGGAGACGGGCGCCCGCACGCGCUGGCGUCUCAUCCGCUCGGCCGACUGGCAGCGAGCCGGCUCCGGGGUCGGCUCGGGGUCACGAGUCGCCCGACGGCCUCGCGAAUCCUCGCAACCGCUCGCUCGCUCUCUCGCUCUCUCGCUGGUGGUGUGGUGGAUCGCGGACGGAGUCGCGGGCGACGAUUUUGAGACGAGCGAUUUGCCCGCACAUCUUCGAUAAUGGCAGCAGCAGCAGCAGCAGCAGCCGGCGCUGUGGAUUACCUGUGGAGCUCUGGUGGAGGGGAGUGAAUUACAUUGCACGCCACUCCCCCCCCCCCCCCCACCCGUGGUCUUUUACCAGGGCCGUCGGUUUACAUUCACAAUGGAAUCAUCUCGUUUAAUUUAUCAAGCAAGAGCCACUUUUGUUUUUAUUUUUCGCCGUUAUGUAUUUUGUGGGGAAUGUUUUCAGCUGAGGGUUCGUUCGAGGGUCGUUAGAGACUAGGGGCAGGGCGGGGGCGGCCGGGGGGGGGGGGCAACCGAAACUGACGAGAAGGGACAUUUUUUUUGUACCAAUUAGGUGAGAAAUUGUCAACAUUCCCAAGAGCCGCAAUGCACGUGGUGAACACGAGAAACGGCGGUCCUCAAUAAACGAUGUCACGGGGAAGUUAGAUAAUCCUCUUCAUCCCGUACGGGACAGGAGGCCACAAUGAGUUCCCUCCGCUUCUUCCUGUCCUUGGCCGCGUGUCGAGCCUCGCCCCAAGACAGGUCGCGAUCGCUGCCGCCAAGUCGUCCUUCGCGGCCUUGCAGCACGUGGUCCCGGCCCUCCAGGAGUUGCCCUUUGCCCCGGUUGGUGUCCAUGUCGGGGCAGUUUUUGGCGCGCGAUUAUUAGGACAACCGGUCUUCCUGUACAGUUCGGCGUUGCGGAUUUCGUUUGGCCACGAGGAAGCGGGUGUCCAUUCAAGAGCCGCGGGUUGCACGCCCCCUCCCCUGGGCUAGGGUGACAAAAAUCGGGAACCCGGUUACUUGUUCCAGUUUUUUAGAUCUGUCCCGAGUCUUCAAGAGGGCGGGGGGCGGUUGCGAGGCCCCCUUGCUUUGGAGUAACCUCGGGGCCCAGUUCCUCGUUCGGUAACUGAUGUUGUGAGCGAGCGAGGUUGUUGGUAGUGGUAGUGUUCAUGAUGCUAGGGGAGGAUUACCGGGCGUUUGGGGAAACACCGACGUUCCGUCGCCGUAUUAAUUACAAGGGCCGGCUCACGGGGCGCCCUGCCAUAUUUAUCUUAGGGCAGUGGAGGCGUCUCGUAAUUAACGCGCGCGGUUUUUGCAUUUAGUGCCAACUACACUCGAGUGACACCACCAAACGUGGUCAUUAACAACGUGUCGGGCAGGUGAAGGGUGAUGACGUGUUCUCCAUGCGGCAACACACACGCCGCCGUUGUUGGGUCUUCAUUGCGUUUACCUGUUGCUUGUGAUCUCUUACCUGGGCACUGGUGUGAGUUGCAUCUCAUCACCGCCUGGACACGGGUGGGUGGGUAGCUCACCUGGCCACAGGUGUGGGUGGGUAGCUCACCUGGCCACAGGUGUGAGUGGGUAGCUCACCUGGCCACAGGUGUGGGUGGGUAGCUCACCUGGCCACAGGUGUGGGUGGGUAGCUCACCUGGCCACAGGUGUGAUUGGGUAGCUCACCUGGCCAUAGGUGUGAGUGGGUAGCUCACCAGGCCACAGGUGUGACUGGGUAGCUCACCUGGCCACAGGUGUGACUGGGUAGCUCACAUGGCCAUAGAUGUGAGUGGGUAGCUCACUUAGCCAUAGACGUGAGUUGUAUCUCAUUGCCACUUGGCCACAGGUAUGAGUGGGUAGCUCACCUGGGCACAGGUGUGUUGCAUCUCACCACCGCCUCUGCACAGGUGUGCGCUUGCGUGACGCUACGUCACUGCGGGGCGACCUGCUGUCACGUACACACCUGUGUGUGAGGAGUGUGUGCACGUAGUCUGUGUUCACCAUCUCGCAGGUGUGUCUGUGCGGUGUGCGUGCGAGGUGCCGUGCGGGGUGUGACCCCCAUUCACCUGCAGACGUCUCUGGUCGCCGCCACAGCCGCCACAGAUGCUGAUCUCUUAACGGCGAGAUUCGGAUUUGUCCAUGAGCCACGGCCAGAAGUCGCGAUCACCCGGGAGCGGAUCAAUCGUUGUGUGGCGGUACCAGUUUCUUUACAUGGCCAAUAAAAGCUGAAUCGUGACAGUCGCAUAUUUCGUUUAGUGCAUAAUAAAGUACACAAACUAAA